ensembl:lncRNA
UGAAGGCACUCCUGCCAAAAAAACAAAAAUGUCUGCCAGCACGAGAACUCCGCCAAGCGCGGGCUAGAGGCAGAACAACAUGCCCAGGCGAUGUCAGCAUUCGUGACGAGAAAUGCCACUGAGGCAGACCAGUGCAGAGGUAAAAAUGGCCAAAAACAACAUUCCUUUCUCCUUCCAUGAUGACUUCCACAAGUGUGUAGCUGACAUGUUCCACGAAAACAGUCAACGGGAAAAACGAAGGCUACUCAACUCAUCAAAGGUCCCUGUCUCACAAAGCCUGAAUGAAUAUGGUGGUCUUUCCUUCUGGCCUCUUGCUGCAUGGUCCAGGUUCACAUUUGCUUAGCUCUUGAUCACCUUCUGUUUACUUUCAUCCUGGUCUACUGGAAUCAAAAAAGAUUCACUUCUUCAGGUAUCCAGUAGUCACGUCCUCGAUUAGAGAAAGUGAGUAACGUGAAAAUUGUUUUGGAGAUGAAAAAGGGCUCAGAAGGUUAAGUAAAGUAUGAACAGAGUCUUUUAUUUACAGUGAGGGAUAUUAAAUAUCGAUUCUAUUGAUACCAAAUUGGAAUCAGUAUUAGAUCAAAAAUAUCACAAUGGUAUCAAUAUUUUCACUCUUAGUUUUGUUCCAUGCUCCAUCUGAAAAUAAAUGUGCCUGUAAAAAUACUCCCCUAGUUUAUUACCCAAGAAAAAAUACCCACUGUCCAACCCCACCAAGAAAAUCUGGACACACACUUUUUAUUUUGACUUUCCAAUCCCAUUUUUUUUAUCCUACUGAAGAGACUUUAUUUGAAAUAAAGUUUCCAGUUGUUUAUUACUGACUCUCAACAAAACUACAGGCAAAAGUAAGAAAUGAAUCAGAGUUGGUUCUUCUACUCAGAGGAACAUGUUGCUUAAAGUUCUACAAGCAGAACAGAGCCACCAAGACACAUCUUGUAUUAAACUCCCCGCUAAGUCCUCAUCUCGUACUGUGCGCUUGGUGUUGCCUUUCCAUCACUUCCGGGUUGUCGGCCCCUAAUCACAUUCCCUCCCUAGGAUCCUGCGCCACAGAUAGGGAUCCUCACCGUGUACCGAGCGUCAGGUGCGGCCUGGUAUGUUUAAGCGUUACCCCCAUUUAAGCUCGCAUUACCUGCAGUGUCCCCUGUGUCUGGCGUCCCUCCCAACAGCGUGGAAAAACCUAGUCGUCUUGAUAGUUUAAUAUUGAGGAAUAUGGCACAGUAAAGUCAGUACUUUACAGUUAUGUCAAAAUCUUUAUUUUUAUUGUUAUGUACGAACAAAAUUAAACGCAACAAGGUGGAAC